rnacentral:rRNA from 1 species
CGCAUGCACCCUCNCAAGUAGCAAAGUGGGGGACCUUCGGGCCUCACGCCAUCGGAUGUGCCCAGAUGGGAUUANCUAGUAGGUGGGGUAAUGGCUCACCUAGGCGACGAUCCCUAGCUGGUCUGAGAGGAUGACCAGCCACACUGGAACUGAGACACGGUCCAGACUCCUACGGGAGGCAGCAGUGGGGAAUAUUGCACAAUGGGCGCAAGCCUGAUGCAGCCAUGCCGCGUGUGUGAAGAAGGCCUUCGGGUUGUAAAGCACUUUCAGCGAGGAGGAAGGGUAUCGUGUUAAUAGCACGGUACAUUGACGUUACUCGCAGAAGAAGCACCGGCUAACUCCGUGCCAGCAGCCGCGGUAAUACGGAGGGUGCAAGCGUUAAUCGGAAUUACUGGGCGUAAAGCGCACGCAGGCGGUUUGUUAAGUCAGAUGUGAAAUCCCCGAGCUUAACUUGGGAACUGCAUUUGAAACUGGCAAGCUAGAGUCUUGUAGAGGGGGGUAGAAUUCCAGGUGUAGCGGUGAAAUGCGUAGAGAUCUGGAGGAAUACCGGUGGCGAAGGCGGCCCCCUGGACAAAGACUGACGCUCAGGUGCGAAAGCGUGGGGAGCAAACAGGAUUANAUACCCUGGUAGUCCACGCUGUAACGAUGUCNACUUGGAGG